GACGAACGCUGGCGGCGUGCUUAACACAUGCCAGUCGAACGGAAAGGCCCUGCUUUUGUGGGGUGCUCGAGUGGCGAACGGGUGAGUAACACGUGAGUAACCUGCCCUUGACUUUGGGAUAACUUCAGGAAACUGGGGCUAAUACCGGAUAGGAGCUCCUGCUGCAUGGUGGGGGUUGGAAAGUUUCGGCGGUUGGGGAUGGACUCGCGGCUUAUCAGCUUGUUGGUGGGGUAGUGGCUUACCAAGGCUUUGACGGGUAGCCGGCCUGAGAGGGGGACCGGCCCGAUUGGGACUGAGAUACGGCCCAGACUCCUACGGGAGGCAGCAGUGGGGAAUAUUGCACAAUGGGCGGAAGCCUGAUGCAGCAACGCCGCGUGCGGGAUGACGGCCUUCGGGUUGUAAACCGCUUUCGCCUGUGACGAAGCGUGAGUGACGGUAAUGUGUAAAGAAGCACCGGCUAACUACGUG
rnacentral:rRNA from 1 species